UGCCCCAUGGCUGAGUUGGUUACAGCGUCCGACUGUUACCUUGCAAUCGGAAGGUCGUGAGUUCGAGCCUCACUGGGGCAG
rnacentral:tRNA from 1 species